GCCAGGAGUGGUGGCACACACCUGUAGUCCCUACUACUCGGGAAGCUGAGGUGGGAAGAUUGCUUAAGCUCAGAAGUUCUGGGUUAUAAUGAUUGGGUGUCUGCACUAAGCUUGGCGUCAAUAUGGUGACCUCUUGGGAGUGGGGGAUCACCAGGUUAUCUAAGAAGAGGUGAACCAGCCCAGGUCAGAAACGGAGCAGGUCAAAACUCAUGGGCUGACCAGUAGUGGGAUCACCCCCGUGAAAAGCCACUGUAAUCCAGCCUGGGCAACACACUGCAACCCUGUCUCUC
rnacentral:SRP_RNA from 1 species